rnacentral:rRNA from 1 species
AACGAACGCUGGCGGCAUGCCUAACACAUGCAAGUCGAACGAGACCUUCGGGUCUAGUGGCGCACGGGUGCGUAACGCGUGGGAAUCUGCCCUUGGGUUCGGAAUAACUUCGGGAAACUGAAGCUAAUACCGGAUGAUGACGUAAGUCCAAAGAUUUAUCGCCCAAGGAUGAGCCCGCGUAGGAUUAGCUAGUUGGUGAGGUAAAGGCUCACCAAGGCGACGAUCCUUAGCUGGUCUGAGAGGAUGAUCAGCCACACUGGGACUGAGACACGGCCCAGACUCCUACGGGAGGCAGCAGUGGGGAAUAUUGGACAAUGGGCGAAAGCCUGAUCCAGCAAUGCCGCGUGAGUGAUGAAGGCCUUAGGGUUGUAAGCUCUUUACCCGGGAUGAUAAUGACAGUACCGGGAGAAUAAGACUCCGGCUAACUCCGUGCCAGCAGCCGCGGUAAUGUGACUACUG